CACCACAGACAGUAUGUCAGCAAAUAGAGGGGGACUGGCUGUGCAGAGGGAGGAGACUAAGUCUGUUUCCUUCACUGCUGUACCCCCAGUGUCCAGAAAUGGCGCUCCAUCAGUGUUUGCUGAAGCCAACACCAACAGGAUGUCCCACUAAUUUAACUCAGCGCUGACAUUAUCAAGCUGGAGAUAACACCAGAUCUGUUUAAAAAAAAAAAAAAAGUUCCACUG
rnacentral:lncRNA from 1 species